rnacentral:rRNA from 1 species
GACGAACGCUGGCGGCGUGCUUAACACAUGCCAGUCGAACGGAAAGGCCCUGCUUUUGUGGGGUGCUCGAGUGGCGAACGGGUGAGUAACACGUGAGUAACCUGCCCUUGACUUUGGGAUAACUUCAGGAAACUGGGGCUAAUACCGGAUAGGAGCUCCUGCUGCAUGGUGGUGGUUGGAAAGUUUCGGCGGUUGGGGAUGGACUCGCGGCUUAUCAGCUUGUUGGUGGGGUAGUGGCUUACCAAGGCUUUGACGGGUAGCCGGCCUGAGAGGGUGACCGGCCACAUUGGGACUGAGAUACGGCCCAGACUCCUACGGGAGGCAGCAGUGGGGAAUAUUGCACAAUGGGCGGGAGCGUGAUGCAGCAACGCCGCGUGCGGGAUGACGGCCUUCGGGUUGUAAACCGCUUUCGCCUGUGACGAAGCGUGAGUGACGGUAAUGGGUAAGGAAGCACCGGCUAACUACGUG